rnacentral:ncRNA from 2 species
UCGUGCCCUUGCAUUGUUGGUGCUCGCAACUUGGUUCGCAAGAUUGCAGUUCAACGGGAAGCAGGAUGGUGGGUCGGCCUUCGACCUGACCUAGCCUGCGCUGCCCCCGCAACGGUGAGUCCCUGGCGCCCGUCAUAGCGCCCCUCCAUCAACACAGCCACUGGGUGCCUUGAACAAGCACCUGGGAAGGCGAUGGACUGAGGGACCAGCCCGGAUACCGGCCAACAUUCGUGUGUCUGC